AGAUUAAGUUAUUAAGGGCGCACGGUGGAUGCCUUGGCACUAGAAGCCGACGAAGGACGUUACUAACGACGAUAUGCUUUGGGGAGCUGUAAGUAAGCUUUGAUCCAGAGAUUUCCGAAUGGGGAAACCCAGCACGAGUUAUGUCGUGUUAUCGAUAUGUGAAUACAUAGCAUAUCUGAAGGCAGACGCGGAGAACUGAAACAUCUUAGUACCCGCAGGAAGAGAAAGAAAAAUCGAUUCCCUGAGUAGCGGCGAGCGAAACGGGAAGAGCCCAAACCAACGAGCUUGCUUGUUGGGGUUGUAGGACACUCUAUACGGAGUUACAAAAGAACAGACUAGACGAAUCAUCUGGAAAGAUGAAUCAAAGAAGGUAAUAAUCCUGUAGUCGAAAGUUUGUUCACUCUUGAGUGGAUCCUGAGUACGACGGAACACGAGAAAUUCCGUCGGAAUCUGGGAGGACCAUCUCCCAAGGCUAAAUACUCUCUAGUGACCGAUAGUGAACCAGUACCGUGAGGGAAAGGUGAAAAGUACCCCGGAAGGGGAGUGAAAUAGAACUUGAAACCGUGUGCUUACAAGUAGUCAGAGCCCGUUAAUGGGUGAUGGCGUGCCUUUUGUAGAAUGAACCGGCGAGUUACGAUUUGAUGCAAGGUUAAGCAGUGAAUGUGGAGCCGUAGCGAAAGCGAGUCUGAAUAGGGCGUUGAGUAUUUGGUCGUAGACCCGAAACCAGGUGAUCUACCCAUGACCAGGUUGAAGUUCAGGUAACACUGAAUGGAGGACCGAACCGACUUACGUUGAAAAGUGAGCGGAUGAGUUGUGGGUAGCGGAGAAAUUCCAAUCGAACCUGGAGAUAGCUGGUUCUCUCCGAAAUAGCUUUAGGGCUAGCCUCAAGUGAUGAUUAUUGGAGGUAGAGCACUGUUUGGACGAGGGGCCCUUAUCGGGUUACCGAAUUCAGACAAACUCCGAAUGCCAAUCAAUUUAACUUGGGAGUCAGAACGCGGGUGAUAAGGUCCGUGUUCGAAAGGGAAACAGCCCAGACCACCAGCUAAGGUCCCAAAAUAUAUGUUAAGUGGAAAAGGAUGUGGCGUUGCCCAGACAACUAGGAUGUUGGCUUAGAAGCAGCCAUCAUUUAAAGAGUGCGUAAUAGCUCACUAGUCGAGUGACACUGCGCCGAAAAUGUACCGGGGCUAAACAUAUUACCGAAGCUGUGGAUUGUCCGUAAGGACAAUGGUAGGAGAGCGUUCUAAGGGCGUUGAAGCAUGAUCGCAAGGACAUGUGGAGCGCUUAGAAGUGAGAAUGCCGGUGUGAGUAGCGAAAGACGGGUGAGAAUCCCGUCCACCGAUUGACUAAGGUUUCCAGAGGAAGGCUCGUCCGCUCUGGGUUAGUCGGGUCCUAAGCUGAGGCCGAUAGGCGUAGGCGAUGGAUAACAGGUUGAUAUUCCUGUACCACCAUUAUUCGUUUUAAGCGAUGGGGGGACGCAGUAGGAUAGGCGAAGCGUACGAUUGGAUUGUACGUCCAAGCAGUGAGAUUGAGUGUUAGGCAAAUCCGGCACUCUUAAGAUUGAGCUGUGAUGGGGAGAGGAAAUUGUUUCCUCGAGUCGUUGAUUUCACACUGCCAAGAAAAGCCUCUAGCUAGAAUUGUGGUGCCCGUACCGCAAACCGACACAGGUAGUCAAGAUGAGAAUUCUAAGGUGAGCGAGCGAACUCUCGUUAAGGAACUCGGCAAAAUGACCCCGUAACUUCGGGAGAAGGGGUGCUCUUUAGGGUUAACGCCCAGGAGAGCCGCAGUGAAUAGGCCCAAGCGACUGUUUAUCAAAAACACAGGUCUCUGCUAAACCGUAAGGUGAUGUAUAGGGGCUGACGCCUGCCCGGUGCUGGAAGGUUAAGAGGAGUGGUUAGCUUCUGCGAAGCUACGAAUCGAAGCCCCAGUAAACGGCGGCCGUAACUAUAACGGUCCUAAGGUAGCGAAAUUCCUUGUCGGGUAAGUUCCGACCCGCACGAAAGGCGUAACGAUUUGGGCACUGUCUCAACGAGAGACUCGGUGAAAUCAUAGUACCUGUGAAGAUGCAGGUUACCCGCGACAGGACGGAAAGACCCCGUGGAGCUUUACUGUAGUCUGAUAUUGAAAUUCGGCACAGCUUGUACAGGAUAGGUAGGAGCCUGAGAUACGUGAGCGCUAGCUUACGUGGAGGCGUUGGUGGGAUACUACCCUCGCUGUGUUGGAUUUCUAACCCGCACCAUUUAUCAUGGUGGGAGACAGUGUCAGAUGGGCAGUUUGACUGGGGCGGUCGCCUCCUAAAGAGUAACGGAGGCGCUCAAAGGUUUCCUCAGAAUGGUUGGAAAUCAUUCAUAGAGUGUAAAGGCAUAAGGAAGCUUGACUGCGAGACUUACAAGUCGAGCAGGGUCGAAAGACGGACUUAGUGAUCCGGUGGUUCCGCAUGGAAGGGCCAUCGCUCAACGGAUAAAAGCUACCCCGGGGAUAACAGGCUUAUCUCCCCCAAGAGUUCACAUCGACGGGGAGGUUUGGCACCUCGAUGUCGGCUCAUCGCAUCCUGGGGCUGUAGUCGGUCCCAAGGGUUGGGCUGUUCGCCCAUUAAAGCGGUACGCGAGCUGGGUUCAGAACGUCGUGAGACAGUUCGGUCCCUAUCCGUCGUGGGCGUAGGAAAUUUGAGAGGAGCUGUCCUUAGUACGAGAGGACCGGGAUGGACAUACCUCUGGUGUACCAGUUGUCGUGCCAACGGCAUCGCUGGGUAGCUAUGUAUGGACGGGAUAAGUGCUGAAAGCAUCUAAGCAUGAAGCCCCCCUCAAGAUGAGAUUUCCCAACUUCGGUUAUAAGAUCCCUCAAAGAUGAUGAGGUUAAUAGGUUCGAGGUGGAAGCAUAGCGAUAUGUGCAGCUGACGAAUACUAAUCGAUCGAAGACUUAAUCAAAUUCUA
rnacentral:rRNA from 1 species